rnacentral:rRNA from 1 species
UACGUAGGCAGCGAGCGUUGUUCGGAGUUACUGGGCGUAAAGGGUGUGUAGGCGGUUUCUUUAAGUUUGGUGUGAAAUCUCCCGGCUCAACCGGGAGGGUGCGCCGAAUACUGAGGGACUAGAGUGCGGGAGAGGAAAGUGGAAUUCCUGGUGUAGCGGUGAAAUGCGUAGAUAUCAGGAGGAACACCGGUGGUGUAGACGGCUUGCUGGGCUCGGUCUGACGCUGAGGCGCGAAAGCGUGGGGAGCGAACAGG